rnacentral:rRNA from 1 species
GAGAAUCUGGCUUUAGGUCUGGGACAACCACUGGAAACGGUGGCUAAUACCGGAUGUGCCGAAAGGUGAAAGGUUAACUGCCUGAAGAUGAGCUCGCGUCUGAUUAGCUAGUAGGUGUGGUAAAGGCGCACCUAGGCGACGAUCAGUAGCUGGUCUGAGAGGACGAUCAGCCACACUGGGACUGAGACACGGCCCAGACUCCUACGGGAGGCAGCAGUGGGGAAUUUUCCGCAAUGGGCGAAAGCCUGACGGAGCAAUACCGCGUGAGGGAAGAAGGCUCUUGGGUCGUAAACCUCUUUUCUCAGGGAAGAACACAAUGACGGUACCUGAGGAAUAAGCAUCGGCUAACUCCGUGCCAGCAGCCGCGGUAAUACGGAGGAUGCAAGCGUUAUCCGGAAUGAUUGGGCGUAAAGCGUCCGCAGGUGGCUGUGUAAGUCUGCUGUUAAAGAGUCUAGCUCAACUAGAUAAGAGCAGUGGAAACUACACGGCUAGAGUACGUUCGGGGCAGAGGGAAUUCCUGGUGUAGCGGUGAAAUGCGUAGAGAUCAGGAAGAACACCAGUGGCGAAGGCGCUCUGCUAGGCCGUAACUGACACUGAGGGACGAAAGCUAGGGGAGCGAAUGGGAUUAGAUACCCCAGUAGUCCUAGCCGUAAACGAUGGAUACUAGGCGUGGCUUGUAUCGAC